UCUCAUUACCCCUACACUCCGUAUAUCCACCUCUUUCUCUGUCUGACAGUGUGACAUGUCCCCUCUCUGCCACACUCACUACAUCCACCUCUUUCUCUGUCUGACAGUGUGACAUUUCCCAUUACCCCUACACUCCGUAUAUCCACCUCUUUCUCUGUUUGACAGUGUGACAUGUCUCAUUACCCCUACACUCCGUAUAUCCACCUCUUUCUCUGUCUGACAGUGUGACAUGUCCACCUCUUUCUCUGUCUGACAGUGUGACACUCACUACUCACUCCACCUCUUUCUCUGUCUGACAGUGUGGCAUGUCCCAUUACCGCUACACUCACUACAGCCACCUCUUUCUCUGUCUGACAGUGUGGCAUGUCCCAUUACAGCUACACUCACUAUUUCCACCACUUUUUUUGUCCCAGGAUGCAGACCAGGAGCCCUGCCAACUAGUAAGAAGGAUAGGAGAGGACAGUGAGUGCAGAGGACAGAGGAUUCAGAGUCACUAAUUAGUGAAAGAUACAAGGUGGAAGCUCUGGGUAUGGAAAAUCGGGACAGAUUGACUGGACUAAGAUGUGUGGGAGUAGGGUUUAUAAGAAGGAUAAAUACAGGCUGUGCUGUGAGUUGUGGGAGUUGGGUCUGUAAUAUGGAUAAGGAUAGACUGUGCUGAGAGUUGUGGAACUGAGAUUUGUAAGAUGGAUACAGGUUGAUUGGGCUGAGAGUUGUGGGAAUGGCAACUGUAAGAUGAAACAGAUAGAUUGGGCUGAGAGUUGUGGGAGUGGGGUCUGUAACAGGGGAGCCUCACAGCGAUGACCAUGGGAUGAAGCCGACAUAAUAUUCAGCGUAUUGUAUUUGUUCUGCUGAGUAGAAUC